UACGUAGGUGGCAAGCGUUGUCCGGAUUUACUGGGCGUAAAGAGCGCGCAGGCGGUCGAUUAAGUCGAGUGUGAAAGCCCCCGGCUCAACUGGGGAGGGUCACUUGAUACUGGUCGACUCGAAGGCAGGAGAGGGAAGUGGAAUUCCCGGUGUAGUGGUGAAAUGCGUAGAUAUCGGGAGGAACACCAGUGGCGAAGGCGACUUCCUGGCCUGUUCUUGACGCUGAGGCGCGAAAGCUAGGGGAGCAAACAGG
rnacentral:rRNA from 1 species